GGAUUAGAUACCCUGGUAGUCCACGCCGUAAACGAUGAGUGCUAAGUGUUAGAGGGUUUCCGCCCUUUAGUGCUGAAGUUAACGCAUUAAGCACUCCGCCUGGGGGAGUACGGUCGCAAGACUGAAACUCAAAGGAAUUGACGGGGGCCCGCACAAGCGGUGGAGCAUGUGGUUUAAUUCGAAGCAACGCGAAGAACCUUACCAGGUCUUGACAUCCUUUUGCCUUCCCUAGAGAUAGGGCGUUCCCCUUCGGGGGACAAAAGUGACAGGUGGUGCAUGGUUGUCGUCAGCUCGUGUCGUGAGAUGUUGGGUUAAGUCCCGCAACGAGCGCAACCCUUGAUCUUAGUUGCCAGCAUUCAGUUGGGCACUCUAAGGUGACUGCCGGUGACAAACC
rnacentral:rRNA from 1 species